UAGUCUGNAACCCGACUACAUGAAGCUGGAAUCGCUAGUAAUCGCGAAUCAGCAUGUCGCGGUGAAUACGUUCCCGGGUCUUGUACACACCGCCCGUCACACCAUGGGAGUCGAUAACACCCGAAGCCUGUGAGCUAACCGCAAGGAGGCAGCAGUCGAAGGUGGGGUUGAUGAUUGGGGUGAAGUCGUAACAAGGUAUC
rnacentral:rRNA from 1 species